UGAGAGGUCCCAGAUACGUCUGCGGUUCCUGCUCCGCCACCCUACGCCAUUCUCCCGCAAGUCUUGGAGCCGGGUGCGGAAGGAGGGAACGGCCCUAGCCUUGGGAAGCCAGAGCACACCCCUGGCUCCUGCCGACACUGCCCUCCUUCCCUUCCCAGCCGCCGGCCUCGCUCGGUGCUAGGCUACUCUGCCGGGAGGCGACGGCGGCUGCCAGUCUGUGGAGAGUCCUGCUGCCCUCCAGCCAGGUUCCUCCAGCCGGGCUCCUCCAGCCGGGCUCCUCCAGCCGGGCUCCUCCACCGGGCCUUGCAGGGGCCGAGAGAGCUCGGCGCCCGCCCUUCCGCGCGUCUUUUUCGUCAGCCGGCCGGAGCAGCAUCGGUCUGGGAGGUCUCUGGGCUGCGGCGGCGCCAGCUCCUCUAGUUCCACCAUGUCCGCGGGCGGAGACUUCGGGAAUCCGCUGACGAAAUUCAAGCUGGUGUUCCUGGGGGAGCAAAGCGUUGCAAAGACAUCUUUGAUCACCAGAUUCAUGUAUGACAGUUUUGACAACACCUAUCAGGCAAC
rnacentral:sRNA from 1 species